UGGCGGACGGGUGAGUAACGCGUGGGUAACCUGCCCCAUACAGGGGGAUAACAGCCGGAAACGGCUGCUAAUACCGCAUGCACAUGCGGGGGCGCAUGCCCCUGCAUGGAAAGCUUUCGCGGUAUGGGAUGGGCCCGCGUCUGAUUAGGCAGUUGGCGGGGUAACGGCCCACCAAACCGACGAUCAGUAGCCGGCCUGAGAGGGCAACCGGCCACAUUGGGACUGAGACACGGCCCAAACUCCUACGGGAGGCAGCAG
rnacentral:rRNA from 1 species